UACGUAGGGGGCAAGCGUUGUCCGGAAUCAUUGGGCGUAAAGAGCGUGUAGGCGGUUUGAUAAGUCCGCUGUGAAAGUCAAGGGCUCAACCCUUGAAUGCCGGUGGAUACUGUCGAACUAGAGUCCGGAAGAGGCGAGUGGAAUUCCUGGUGUAGCGGUGAAAUGCGCAGAUAUCAGGAGGAACACCGAUGGCGAAGGCAGCUCGCUGGGACGGUACUGACGCUGAGACGCGAAAGCGUGGGGAGCAAACAGG
rnacentral:rRNA from 1 species